AUUGAACGCUGGCGGCAGGCCUAACACAUGCAAGUCGAGCGGAUGAAGGGAGCUUGCUCCUGGAUUCAGCGGCGGACGGGUGAGUAAUGCCUAGGAAUCUGCCUGGUAGUGGGGGAUAACGUCCGGAAACGGGCGCUAAUACCGCAUACGUCCUGAGGGAGAAAGUGGGGGAUCUUCGGACCUCACGCUAUCAGAUGAGCCUAGGUCGGAUUAGCUAGUUGGUGGGGUAAAGGCCUACCAAGGCGACGUUCCGUAACUGGUCUGAGAGGAUGAUCAGUCACACUGGAACUGAGACACGGUCCAGACUCCAACGGGAGGCAGCAGUGGGGAAUAUUGGACAAUGGGCGAAAGCCUGAUCCAGCCAUGCCGCGUGUGUGAAGAAGGUCUUCGGAUUGUAAAGCACUUUAAGUUGGGAGGAAGGGCAGUAAGUUAAUACCUUGCUGUUUUGACGUUACCAACAGAAUAAGCACCGGCUAACUUCGUG
rnacentral:rRNA from 1 species